UUCUCUCUCUCUCUCUCUCUCGUUUUUUUUUUCUCUCUUCCCCCCUCCCCUUCCCUUCUUUCCUCCUUUCCUUCCCUCCAGUCCUCCCCUUUCCUCCUCCCCUUCUUUCCUUCCUCUCAGCAUCGGCGGGGCGCAGCACGCCUCAUCUUCUUCAUCUGUGGUGAAGGCGGAGGCUCACAUCAUUACAAGAGAAGCUGUUUGCUGUCCUGAGGAGGAGGAAGAAGACACAUCAAAUGACUUAGCCCUUGUUUCCUUGAAUGUCAAGGAAGCCCUCCUGCUGUUAUUGUUGACCUCUGUGUUUAAGAUUCAUGUUAACCAGCGGACUGUCAUCCAAUCUAUUCUCUUCUAUUAUAUUGCAUGUGGAUAAAUGUACAUAAAAAUCUACAAUGAACAACAACAUGAAAUAUACAAGUCACUUGUUUCUGUAAAUUGUAAAUGAUGCAAUAAUGCAAAGAGUCGUGGAAUAAAUACAGAAUUAUUAAUGAUUACUUUAAAUACAUGAAGUAGGUGGAUA